rnacentral:rRNA from 1 species
UACGAAGGUCCCAAGCGUUAUCCGGAUUUAUUGGGUUUAAAGGGUGCGUAGGCGGGCUAUUAAGUCAGUGGUGAAAGCCCCAAGCUUAACUUGGGAACUGCCAUUGAUACUGAUGGUCUUGAGUACAUUUGAGGUGGGCGGAAUGUGUCAUGUAGCGGUGAAAUGCUUAGAUAUGACACAGAACACCAAUGGCGAAGGCAGCUCUCUGGGACGGUACUGACGCUGAGACGCGAAAGCGUGGGGAGCGAACAGG